UACGAAGGGGGCUAGCGUUGUUCGGAAUCAUUGGGCGUAAAGCGCGCGUAGGCGGCCCGGUAAGUCCGCUGUGAAAGUCAAAGGCUCAACCUUUGAAUGUCAGCGGAUACUGCCGGGCUAGAGUCCGGAAGAGGCGAGUGGAACUCCUGGUGUAGCGGUGGAAUGCGCAGAUAUCAGGAAGAACACCAACGGCGAAGGCAGCUCGCUGGGACGGAACUGACGCUAAGGCGCGAAAGCGUGGGGAGCGAACAGG
rnacentral:rRNA from 1 species